CCUACGGGAGGCAGCAGUGGGGAAUAUUGGACAAUGGGCGCAAGCCUGAUCCAGCAAUGCCGCGUGAGUGAUGAAGGCCUUAGGGUCGUAAAGCUCUUUUACCAGGGAUGAUAAUGACAGUACCUGGAGAAUAAGCUCCGGCUAACUCCGUGCCAGCAGCCGCGGUAAUACGGAGGGAGCUAGCGUUGUUCGGAAUUACUGGGCGUAAAGCGUACGUAGGCGGUUAUUCAAGUCAGAGGUGAAAGCCCGGGGCUCAACCCCGGAACGGCCUUUGAAACUAGGUAGCUAGAAUCUUGGAGAGGUCAGUGGAAUUCCGAGUGUAGAGGUGAAAUUCGUAGAUAUUCGGAAGAACACCAGUGGCGAAGGCGACUGACUGGACAAGUAUUGACGCUGAGGUACGAAAGCGUGGGGAGCAAACAGGAUUAGAUACCCUGGUAGUCCACGCCGUAAACGAUGAUAACUAGCUGUUCGGGCACUUGGUGCUUGAGUGGCGCAGCUAACGCAUUAAGUUAUCCGCCUGGGGAGUACGGUCGCAAGNUUAAAACCUUAAAUGAAUUGACGG
rnacentral:rRNA from 1 species